rnacentral:rRNA from 1 species
CUACGAGAGGCACCAGUCGAGAAUCUUUCACAAUGGACGAAAGUCUGAUGAUGCGACGCCGCGUGGGGGAUGAAGGUCUUCGGAUUGUAAACCCAUUUUAUUAGGGAGGAACGCUAAAAAGUUAACAGCCUUUUAGUCUGACUUUACUUAAUGAAUAAGCCACGGCUAACUCCGUGCCAGCAGCCGCGGUAAUACGGAGGUGGCGAGCGUUACUCGGUUUGACUGGGUGUAAAGGGUCUGUAUGCGGCCUUACAAGUGUGAGGUGAAAUCUUUCGGCUUAACCGGAAAACUGCCUUUCAAACUGUAUGGCUUGAAGAUGGAAGAGGAGAGCGGAACUGUCGGUGUAAAGGUGAAAUUUGUGGAGAUCGACAGGAACGCCCGUGGAGAAGUCGGCUCUCUGGUCCAUACCUGACGCUGAGGGACGAAAGCUAGGGGAGCGAACAGGAUUAGAUACCCGAGUAGUC